rnacentral:rRNA from 1 species
UACAGAGGGUGCGAGCGUUAAUCGGAAUUACUGGGCGUAAAGCGCACGUAGUCGGCUUUGCAAGUCGGUUGUGAAAUCCCCGGGCUCAACCUGGGAACUGCAUCCGAGACUGCAUUGCUAGAGUAUGGGGAGAGGGAAGCGGAAUUUCUGGUGUAGCAGUGAAAUGCGUAGAUAUCAGAAGGAACAUCAGUGGCGAAGGCGGCUUCCUGGACCAAUACUGACGAUCAGGUGGCGAAAGCGUGGGGAGCAAACAGG